CCUACGGGUGACAGCAGUGGGGGAUAGUGCACAAUGGGGGAAACCCUGAUGCAGCGACACCGCGUGGGUGAAGAAGCGCCUCGGCGCGUAAAGCCCUGUCAGCAGGGAAGAAAAUGACGGUACCUGAAGAAGAAGCCCCGGCGAACGACGUGCCAGCAGCCGCGGUAAUACGUAGGGGGCAAGCGUUAUCCGGAUUGACGGGGGGUAAAGGGGGCGCAGACGGCGAUGCAAGCCAGGAGUGAAAGCCCGGGGCCCCACCCCGGGACUGCUCUUGGAACUGCGUGGCGAGAGUGCAGGAGGGGCAGGCGUAAUUCCUGUUGUAGCGGUGCAAUGCGUCGAUAUCAGGCGGAACACCGGUGGCG
rnacentral:rRNA from 1 species